GACUGAGGCUGAGUCUCCAAAAGUACAACAGGCAGACUCAGCUGGCACAGCUGCUGCCAGCCACCUGGGCUCUGGACUUGUUUUUAUAUCACUAUUAUAAAAUGCUAUUUUAACGUGGUUCCCARCCAGUGAGACUUCCAGCCCGGUGCUGAGCCCUCCAGAGCACCCAGGCAGUGCUGGUUUCAUUCAGAAAACCAUGCUGCUGAGGGUAAUCGAGUCAGAGCAAACAGCCUGGAAGGACGUUGGGGUGCAGAGCCUUUUCUGCAUGACCUCCUGGAGCCUGAAUUUAUGUSACCUACMGAAAGGCAUCGUUCGCAGAGCAGCRACCCAGGCRUGCUGACCCUCCUGCAGGGACCAAGAGAAGAAACAUAUAAGUACUGAAGUGUGUGCAAUAAAUAUGAAUCCUGCAAGAAGAGAGCAGAGGAUCAUAUUUGGCUUUUUCCCAAGCUGCUGCCCAUCCUGGGACACGAUCACUGGAUCUCUGUCAGCAGGAGCCACUUUCAAACUGAGCUGUGCAUGGAGGAGAUCCCUGACCUUCAGUCUCUGCUUGCUGGACAGAAGAAACAUCUAAAUACUGAAGUGUGUGUGGUAAAGAUGAAUCCUGCAAGAAGAGAGCAAGAAGUUCAUGUUUGUUUUUUCCCAAGCUGCUGCACUCACCACAGAUGUUUGCAGAGGACCUGCGUGUGUUCUGUUCUCCGUCUGCCACUUCCACUAGUCCUUAGAUGAAAAAUUAACAGACACACAGAUGUAUCUGGGCUUCAGGGACACGUUUGGGGCUCCCUCAUCUGCAUCCCCUGGGAGAGCAUGGGAGGGGACACUUCUGUGCAGACAGGAAAGCAGGAAUGGGUUUGUAACAGCGUCCCACUGGAGCACAGGCAGAAAAUGCACAGCCCUCACACAAGGAACACGAGUGGACUUGUCCUGUUCCCCUCAGGCUUAUCAGGAUGAAACCCCAUARCAGAACAUAUAAAUUAAAAAUUCCUUCAGUUGCUGCUCCUAGAYAUAGUCUCUGCAGUCUGUCCUAACUCCUGAGCCAUUUAUGCAGGUUCCCAACUGGCCUGGCUCACUGCUAGCCAUUGCACACAGCAGCACACCCAGCCACAGCCCAGUCUCUCAGGCUGCUUUUCCCUACACUGUCCCUCCCAUCACUGGGACUCCAGCCUGCCCACAUGCCCAUCCACACUGUGCACAGAUUCUCAGCAAGGAAACAGCUAAAGAGAGUUYGGAAAGCAGACAGGACGUGCUGCAACCUCCAGGCACGGGGCAUGGCCCGCCAAGCACUAACAAGUCCUCUUUGUCCC